ACAGUGCUGCAGCCGAGGCUGAGGGGCCAGCUAACCCCCGAUGCACUGCCUGCCCAAACACACCCAAGAAAAUGUGGGGGCUGCCCCACCUGGCCCAAGGGGCCACCCGUGGGAAGGGGGGAAUCUGCUUUGUGAGACGUACAGCCCUUUUUACUGCCUUCCUGUAAGUUAUUCGCAGGAAACAAACAAAAAAAAGAAAGUUGAAACUCUUAAUUCAAAACCUCAGCUUUCCCAAUUUAUCUCGGAUGUUGCUCUUUGCCCCAGAGCAGUUUUAUCAAAGUCAUGCGCAUGGAGAGCCCUGACCUCUGUCCCCGUGCAUUUCCGAUAAUCAGUAGGGCAACCAGUUGACGCUUCGCCCUUCCUUUACCCCCUGAAGACCACAGAGCAAUCGGGCCCUGCCCAACCAAGUCGCUCGCCCCAGAGGCCGCGGGUCUCCACCGCGAGUCGGACCGUAAUCUCCCGCUUGUGCACGAACCCAUCCCCGCCGGCAAGACGUGCGUCGUACCGGACGCUCCGAUGCGCGAGGAGGUAUUUUUAUUCUGUACUUUCCAGAUGUUGCUCCAUUGUACUCUCGUCUCCAUUUUUUCUGCUGUGAGCAGUUUGACUACGACAUGCUGAGGUGUGGCUUUCUUUGUAUUUAUCCAUCUUUGGUUCACUGAACUAUUUGGAUCUAUAAGCUUUGUUCGUGGUGGUAAAACACUGGAGACAACAAGAAUGCUAUUGAGGGGCACACGCAGAACAGUUGUGACGUACUCACACCAUGGAGUGCACGUGCUUUUGGGAAGAGGACUGCCCAUCUCCACGGAGUAGUUGGGAAUGAUUUGCCUGAUGUCUUGCUGAGUAACAGUAAUACGAUCUCAAUCAAGCAAAGUGAAUGUCAUCAGGAACAGUAAGUGCACCUGUGCACCACAGACGGGGUCCGCAAGAAGAGUCCGCAUCAUUUCUGUAAUCUUCCUGCCAAUGACACCAACCUGUUUGCAGGAAGUUCGCACCAAAAUAAUCAGAGGUGAUGAGGCAUCACAUCUGCACCUUGGUCCUAAUGGAUCAGGGCUCAAAAAUACAGGUAUCUUGUAUUGUACUUGCAACUUUCGGUAAGUUUGAAAUUGUUUCAAAAUAUAAAAGCUGUAAAUAGUAAUCCAAAGCAAGAUAUUGAAAACCCUGUGAAAUAUGAUCCUAAUUGUAUAAAACAAUGACCCGCCCUCACAUAAUAGUCACAAGUAUGUGUGUUGUGUAUGGCUAUGUGUUUCUUUGAUUACAUGACGAUACAGAGAAAUACAGACUCCUACGUGAUAAGUUGUACACAGGUGACCUUGGGUAGAGGCAGGAGCAGAGAGAGAAGGAUUCAAGCAUAAGAAGAGUUAAAAAGAGACUACAUUAAAAAUUUUAAAUGUGCCAUGUAAAGCCAUCAUUAUCUUGCACUUAAUGUACAAUAAUGUGUGUGUAUUGGUCUACUGCCAAAAUAAAACACCACAGACUGAGUGGCUUGAAGACGGACAUAUUUUCUCAUAGUUCUGGAAGUCGGAAGUCCAAGAUCGAGGUGUCGGCAGGGUUGGUUUCAUUCAAAGGGCUCUCCUGGACCUGCAGAUAUCUGCCUUCUCCUUGUCCCCCCUCACGCAUCCUUCCUCACACACAUGUGCAUCCCCGGGGUCUCUGUAUGUGUCUAAAUUUCCUCCUUAUAAAAACACCGCCCUAACAGCCUCUUUCUAUUUUUAUUUAUUUAUUUAUUUGACAGAGAGAGCGAGAGAGCACAAGUAGGGGGAACAGUAGAGGGAGAGGUAGAAGCAGGCUCCCCGCCAAGCAGGGAGCCCGAUGCAAGGCUUGAUCCCAGGACCCUGGGAUCAUGACCUGAGCCGAAGGCAAACGCUUAACCAUCUGAGCCACCCAGGCGCCCCUAACAGCCUCUUUCUAACUUAAUUACUUUUUUAAGUCCAAAUACAAUCACAUUCUGAGGUACUAAGGGUUUGCACUUCCACAGACAAGUUUGGGAGGGACAGGACCCAGUCCAAAUGAGUACAAAUAUGUGUGAGCGUGUGAGUGCGUGCGCACACGCGCUCACACAAAAGCCUUGACCCUGAUCAACCCAUGUGUUCCUAGUCCAAGCAAGCAUCCAUCAUGACUUGGUCUGGAUUUCUUGUUGAAAAAGAUUUGGUGACUUUUGGUCUUAAAAAAAAUAUUUUUGUAGGGUUGUUUCCUGAGUUUUCUUAAUUCCAGUUGAAAGCAACAGUGACUCUUACUUCAUUUGAGGUAAAUCCAGACUAAGUAAAUGAUGAGGGUUAGGGUAGUCCUCUCUGUUAACAGGAUGUUUAUGAAACUACACUCAGAGUCCUCUUCUGUUCGGGCAGAAUGGUGGGAGAUCACAAUCCAGCCACUCAAUAACGGUGCGAUUUGUCCUGAAGUUUAUACCUUCGCUCCUAUCAUGUCUUUGUCUUGUAUAUCUCUCUGUGUUAUCUUCAAGACAACUUCACGCUCCCCAUCCCCACUUAGAUUUCUUUCCACUGCCCUUUCUGGUUUCACCUAGUUCAGUUCCAUGCCUUUGGAACUAUCUUCUCCCACAACGAAGUCCUACAAGCCCCAAGCUGAUUGAAUAGUCCAACACAACCCAAAGAAAGAAAAUACACAGUUUCCAAAGCCUGAUUUAUUUAAAAACCAAAAAACAUCUGCGUUAUUUUGGAAUGCUCAUUGUGGAUUUGGUGUUAGGGCAUCUCAAUUCCCUGUCUUGUCAUAUCUGCAGAAAUGUGGGAAGUGCUUUGCUUACCCCAGAAACGUCUCUAAUGAACCUGCAGAUCUCCCCCUUUUCCCUUUUCCAGUCUCUCCAAUGGGAUGUGCGACCCACAAAGUAGAUGGAAAUACAGUCCCUCCCAUAGCUCUGCUAAGCAGACCAAGUUGUAUCAGUUACAUGUUGUUUCAUUCUUCAAACCAAAUGCGGGUUGGGAGUGUGGACGAUUUGCAAGGGCACACAGUCACAGGAAUGGAUGGAUUCUGAACACUCAGCCUCUGGGGCAGCACAAAGAGUGCUGGUCCUGCUCUAGCCCCACUCAGCUCUUCACUGGCUGGAUGACCUCACCUGUCCAGCUCCUCACCUGUGUCACAGACAAGGGCACUCCCGCUUAAGUCUUCACUGGACAACCAGCUAGGCUGUGGAUCGCACACCAAUGUGCCCAUCGAUGGCAGAGCCCCAUGCAAAUCAGAGGUGAGAGGUGCAUUAGUGUGCUGGAGAGGUGGGGGCUGGCUGUGGGGCAGGGAUCCGGGUGCAGGUCUCUCCCUCGGCACUUUCUUCUGAACCUCAGCUUACUCCCUGGGAAAACAAGGAUACAAGAGCCACCCUCACGACUGUCGGUUCCCCAGCUGGACUCUCCAGGGGACAUCAGACAGCAUUAUCCCAGGACGCUUUACUAGCCUGUUUGGCCAUCUCCCCAGGGACACUGUUCUCUGAGGUGAGAUCAGGGGAGCAGAGCCCACAGCUCCUGGCUUUUUGAAACCAGAUCCCACUCGGCCCCCCAGCUCCUCCUUGAGGGUCUCUUUCUUCCUGGGAAGUACAUCCCCAAGUGGCCUCUCGCUGUGCUGCUGGCUCCGCAGCUGUCUUCUCUUCGCUUCCCGUCGAGUCCUCGAAGACUCUGCUGCAAACACCACAAGGUGGAGUCAACAGCUCAGCCUCCCUCAGAAAGAGGAGCGCUUUGGAGCUCUGCCCCUCAUCAGAGGGCAGUCUCCCUGCCAAGUGUGAUCACCUCACUCAAGCACCCUGCAGGAAGUGGGGUGGCAGGGAGGCCCGCCCUGCUCCCCCAGCAACCCAGACCACAAUGGUGAAGCUGUCACAUCGAGCACCGCCCAGUCCCCUCCAGCUCACAGUGGACAGGGAAUGAGCCCUGUGUUUCUUUUACAUUCUCUUCAUUCACUCAUUCAUGCCUUUAUUGAAACCUACCCUGUUCUGGGCACAGUGCUCUGGACCGAGCACACACAUGAACAGCAUCACCCCUGCCCGCUCUCGCACGGCUCAUGACCUGGUGAGAGGAGAACACACAGGAGGCAUGGACCUUCAACAGAUACUUGAUGGGUUUAUACAUAUAAAACCAGUAGACGCUCCUCCCCACUAAUGUGGAAUAUUAACUUAUUCAUCAAAAAUAUUUUGCAGGGGCGCCUGGGUGGCCCAGUCGUCGAGCGUCUGCCUUCGGCUCGGGUCAUGAUCCCAGGGUCCUGGGAUCGAGCCCCGCAUCGGGCUCCCUGCUCGGCGGGAAGCCUGCUUCUCCUUCUCCCACUCCCCCUGCUUGCGUUCCCUCUCUCGCUGUGUCUCUAUCAAAUAAAUAAAUAAAAUCUUAAAAAAAAAAAAGGUAUUUUGCGGUACUGACUACAGAAUAGUCCGAUCUAAUGGAUCCAUAGAAGGAGACAAUUCUUGAUUUUGAGCCCUCAAGGCCAGGUCCCUGAUAAUCCAUGAAACAAUGUGCUCAAGUUUUCAAGUUUGGAAGUAGGAAGGGCUGAGUACCGGUUGUGGCUAAUAACCACACUAUGGAUUCCUUGUUUUCAUUGGAAAACACUUUUUUUCCUGCUUAAUAAUUGAAGAUGGCAACAGCACAGAUGGCCACGUACCUGUACCUUUAAGGGGAAUCUGUGUGCCCAAUGCCUAAGGAAUGACUCCAUCACCAGGACACUGACCCCGUCUUAGAGUGCCAACGGCUUGCUCUGCCACCCCAGGAAAAAAGUAGAAAGGCUCCUGGUGAGAGUCUGUGUCUCAGGCUCCCUCCUGGCUCUGCCCCCCUCCUCCAGCUACACUGAAACCGCCUCUCCCAGCAAGUCUCCUGAGUCAUCCUGCCUUACAUAACCCACUUGGGAGCCUCUUGGCACACAUGCGUAUGGUUUGUAUACGCUUUCCCAGAGGUCCACCAGCCACCAAAAUAAUCAGUCUUCCCUCUAAACCCUUAAACCAAAGGUUUGCCCAACUGUUGUGUGCUCUUCUGGGGGGAAGUUUUAUUUAGCCUGGCACAAUAGAGGUUAUAUAUACAGGCUCUGUAGGCUCGUAAAAUAAACAUAAUUUAAAUCAUAAUCUUACCCUGUGGUUAGAAAAAUAGAUUGUCACAAAUACUUGUAAUACUAAUUGCUCAUUAUACACUUCCACGAGUUUCGCUCUGCUGUUAGCUCUGGGACAGCAAAUGUUGGUGAAUGUGAACUAAGCUAUUUCAGCCAGAACCUACCACUCAGACUUGUGUUUGUGGAGGAGCUUCUGUUUACAAAACUCUUACCCACACAUUUUCUCAACAAAGGUCUCCAGAGCUUUAUGACAUAGAUACAAUUAUUCCAUUUUACAGAAGAGGAAACUGACGUUCAGGGUGUUCCAGAUCACAGGAGUGAUAAGAGGACAGAUUUCAGCCCUGGUGUUCUGAUAGAUCCCACUAGUUAUAACCUCCCCAUGGGAUAUGCAUACACAAGGACCCCUGUACUCCUGGGUAACCUACACCCUUCUAACUAUUCCACAUGUUUCACACCUAACUCAGUGCUUGACACUUACAGGGCAAAGUAAUAAAGUCUCCGAAGUUGAAUGUAGAUCUCUCCCUACUUCCUGGCCACACUGGGUCUUCUGCAUCCUGUAUAACUCAAAGUCUUGGGCACCUAACACAUUCACUCUGUAUCCGUUAAUAAGUUAAUGAAUGUUUUCUAUGAAGCUAGAGAACCCGUUCCUGUCCCCUUGUUUUGUGGACUUUGGAAGUUAUGCUGCAAAAAUGGGUUGUCCUCGGGGACAACUAGGGAGCCUGGCUGCACCUGACCUCUGAGGUCCAGCUCAUUUCUCCCCCCAGGGAAUUUUUCUUCAGAAGGCUUUCAAGCCACAACAGGAGCAAAGAUGAUGUGAGGAGGACAGGGUUAUUGUGAGAAAAGUCUUUCGUAUCUGGUAUCUGUCUCCGAGAUCUCAGGGCUCUCAGCAACUGCUAUGCGAAGCAGCUCCCUCCAGGGGAUCUGAAUCACCACAUCCUUCAGGGUAUGUGCCUGCAGAGCUCCUUAAAGCAUUUUUAGUGGUUUUAAGGAUACAAGUUCCAUUGGGGUCUAUUCUUGUGGAGCUGCCCUGAGUUCGGGGCACCCCCCUCCACAAACCCCCAGACAAACGUGACUCUAGAGCACGGAGUUUCUAUUUGAAGGUUCACAGUUUGUUUGUGUUGGCCGUUACAGACACUCCCUGAGAUAGGCCAGUGCAAUAGGAUUUCCCAGGGCAUGCUGUGGACUAAGAAAACAGCCUAGAAAAAACGGCUAGUGGAACCUUCCUUUCUGCCUCUUCUCUGAAAUAAAGUGCGUCAUUUUGAGACAAAAGGGGGCUCUGCUGAAAUCACUUAAGGAGAAAAAUACAGCAUCUGGCAUUACAACAGCUACGUAUCCGUGACUGUUUCAUUCUCUGAAAAUACGAAGUAACAGAGACCAGAUUGCCUCCUGAAACAAUCAAAUGAAAUAUAUCAAGCAGCAGUUUUCAAGGCACUGGACAUCAGACAAUGAAGGGGAGUGAUUCUGAGUGAUGGGAAAUAGAAAAGACUUCAAUUUGACUAUGGAUAUUUCUGGGUUCUGCACAAAGCCAGCACAGAAGUCAUCAUCUGGUGCAAUGAGGACAUCUCACAGUAUGGAAACACAGUUCCUCUUACUGACGGGCAGAGUUGCAAUGUAAGCAGGCAUCUGAAUGUACUGACUAGAAGAAAAGACCUCAAGUAAAACUGGAUGUUUUCAUGAAGCAAACUUUAACUUUGCAUUUAUUACAACCAGUUAUCAGAUGAGCAAAAGCUGUGUAUGGAUUUUUUUACUCUUUGGCAAGCAAACGGUCACCCAAUCACCAGUCCCGCGGAAAAUGAUCAGGAAAAGCCAAAUACGCACCCGUAAGCCAUCACAUGGAUGCCCUGCUCCAAGUUAGCUGCUUCCAGCUCCCCCGUGCCCACAGCCUCCAUCAGUGCACACCAGAAGCUGGUCCUUUCUUCCCUAAGAAGCCUUCCCACCCUGCCUGCCUUUGGACCAAAUCACAAGUGAUGGUGGCUGACUCCCUUGCUACAGCAAGCACUGAAUCAAUAGCCUUUGCUUCUUCCCAUUUGGUUGUUUUUUGUUCAUUUUCACACUUGCCCCAAUUACAAAUUAAUUCUUUAAAGAAUGAAUUAUUUUACCCAUUAAUAUGAAGAAAAGAUGUAAAAUUAAAAAUGUUUUAAAAUCUCAAUUAUACACUUCACAUUGUAUU